rnacentral:lncRNA from 1 species
GGGAGGUGGAGGAAUUGAUCAGGCAUCUGGAUGGCCAAAGGGAACACGUGCUGAGAGGAAGUUUUAGGCUCUCUUUUUCCACUGAUUGCUACCUCUUUCCUCACGUUCUCCUUCUCCAUUGAUUCAAAUGGCCGUGAGCCCAGCCCUCCCUUCUCACUUGGCUGUAGAGCUGGAAUCUAUGCUCACAAUGUAGAAAUGGGAAGUGCAAGUCUGGCUGGAGCAGGGUUGGCUGAAGGCUAUAGUUAAACCAUGUUUACUUAUAAACCUGUCCAUGUUGGAGGCCAAGCAGCAGGAAGCCAAGAAAAGACCCAACUCUGGUUUGAAGACCCUGGGGAAGAGUUGCAAAAAUAACACCUGCAGGUGUGGAAGGCUGUUCAGUGAUCCCCGGUGUGCAGAAGGCCAUGAAGAAAUUAUGAGAUUAGAGAUCGAGAGAGUGACGGCAGCUGCCUUUCAGCAGCUUUCCCCUGUUGCCUCGAGAAUAAUUCAACUCUAGCAGACUUACUUAAGGCCUGGGAAAAUAGUGCAAAGUGAAGAAAGGGAUAGAAAUGGUUGUUAUUUGCCCUAGGGUGAGAGGAAGUGUUUGAGCUUUCCCUAGGAUAUUGAGAAGUACAUGGCUGAGCAAAUCAUAUUUGGAAAGUAGGAGAACAUACUUCUGUACUUUGCAUUUUUCUAGGAGAAAAAAUGAAUCUACCUAAACAUUGAGAGCAUCUUAGGUAAUUUAUGGGGAGCAUUAGCAAAGCCAGGAAAGCUUGCAAACCAGACUAAACACCUCUAAGUUUUAAGAGUGUGCAGAGAAUAUAAUGAAGAAAUAAUAAAUGAAGAUUAAUGGCU